UGGGGAAUUUUGCACAAUGGGGGAAACCCUGAUGCAGCGACGCCGCGUGAUUUAGAAGGCCUUCGGGUUGUAAAAAUCUUUUCUAUGGGAAGAAAAUGACAGUACCAUAGGAAUAAGGACCGGCUAAUUACGUGCCAGCAGCCGCGGUAAUACGUAAGGUCCGAGCGUUGUCCGGAAUCAUUGGGCGUAAAGGGUACGUAGGCGGGUAAGCAAGUUAGAAGUGAAAUCCUGUAGCUCAACUACAGUAAGCUUUUAAAACUGCUCAUCUUGAGAUAUGGAAGGGAAAGUGGAAUUCAUAGUGUAGCGGUGAAAUGCGCAGAUAUUAGGAGGAAUACCGGUGGCGAAGGCGACUUUCUGGCCAUAAUCUGACGCUGAGGUACGAAAGCGUGGGUAGCAAACAGG
rnacentral:rRNA from 1 species